AAACCCCUACUCUAGCAGGACAUUGUUAAAGUGAGUUUCUAUCUUUUGACCCCAUCACAUGACUACAUGGCCAUGCCCACCCAGUCAAAUGACCUACCACCACCACCACGCCAGGCCCACAGAACUGGUAGGGAAAAAAAUAGAUUUCACCACUGGGAGGAGGCAAUAUGCAUGGGAGGGAGGUGGGAUCUAUUAUUAGUUCUUCAACCACCUCCAGCAUGAUACUCCCCCUUGGAACCCCAAGCCAUCUAGCAGACCCAGGUCUUCACACCCUUGUUGAUAGUCCAGAGGGUGGGAGCCAAUCUCAUCUCAGUGGGGUAAAAUGUUCCAAAGAGCGGGGGCCACAACAGAGAAGGCUCUUCCCCUGGACCCCCACCAGCUAGAAUUUCUUGACUGAUGGGAUCUGCAACAUUUGUCUCCUUUGCAGGCACAGGUGGUAUGAGCCUAUCCCAUUGGAGUGAGAUGAUUCCUCGUGUAACCUGGACCAUGCCUUGAGGUCUUUAUAGGUUUGUGCUGCAUUGAUAUCCACAAUGAACAACAUUUCAAGGACUGUGAUUGAUAGAUUUGUCACUAGAAAUUCUAGCCCUGCCCAGUGUCAUCUACCACAGCGAAGGCCUCUCCAAUUGGUGAGGUGGGUAAGAGAGAGGGGCAAAGUCUGAGCCAAAGUCACCCAGGCAGUUUUCAUGCCUAAAGCGGGACUAGAACUCACUGCCUCCUAGGGCAGCACCUUAAUCACAGCACCAAUCUGGCUCUCGGUUUCUUAAUCAGGUUUCUGAUUCCUGCUGUUUCCUGAAUGAAAAUCAGUCAAGGGAAGAUCAUCUCAUAGACAGAACCCACAGAACCAAGGAAGAAAUAUCACAUUGUUUUCUAUCUUUGUAGAUGCUUUAUUCAUUUUGCCAAAUGACAAAACAAUGGAACAAAGUUGGGACAGAGCAGACCGGAAGAAUUAAGUAUCACAGGGUUUGUAUUUAUGCUUUGGAGUGCAAAUAAAAAGACUGACUCUUUCUUUCUCUCUCUCCCUCACUAUUUUAGUGCUUUGUUUUCUUCAAACUCCAAUAUGGAUCAAUACCACAGCAAAGAUGCAUUAGAUUGUGGUUGUCCUUACGGCAAAGUUGAGAAAUGUCUGCAUGUUCAGCUCCUUAAUAUAGACAUGCAAGUGAACAGAUUAAUGAC